GGAAAAUUGCAAUCAUUAUCCCUAUACAUAAACCAGGAAAACAAAAUAGUUCACCCAAAAGUUACCGACCCAUAAGUCUACUCCCAACUUUCUCAAAACUCCUUGAAAGAAUUCUAUAGCACAGAAUUAAACCGUUCCUAAAAAUUAUACCACUACAUCAAUUUGGUUUCAAAUCAUUUCAUUCGACAACCCAUCAGCUACAACGGAUAUCUGAAAU